UUUACAAGACACUGGAAUAGCCAGCCUGUCCUUGGGAGCACGCCAGCUGGAAAUCUGCACCUUUCUGCUGCCGUGUACCUCAGUGGUGCAUCUUUCAUCAAAAUUGAAAAGGUCUUCAAGGCAAUGAAGCUACAGUUGUUUCAGUAUGAAACAUUUCGCCGCCAUGCCAGAUCUUUCAUUGAACCGGCAGUUAUUCACCACUGGAAAGUCACACAGGAUGUGAAUCUGCAGCGGCUAAGUCAGGAGGAAAAAGUAAUCCUUGGUGGUGACAUGAGAGCUGACUCACCAGGCCACUCUGCAAAGUAUGGGAGUUAUACAACGAUGGAUCUCCAGAGUAACACCGUUGUGGACAUUCAGUUGGUUCAGGUAAUUUGCCCAAAUUUAUUUUGCAA